GUACACACCGCCCGUCACACCAUGGGAGUGGGUUGCAAAAGAAGUAGGUAGCUUAACCUUCGGGAGGGCGCUUACCACUUUGUGAUUCAUGACUGGGGUGAAGUCGUAACAAGGUAACCGUAGGGGAACCUGCGGUUGGAUCACCUCCUUA
rnacentral:rRNA from 2 species